ensembl:lncRNA
UGGCUGUGUGGGCGCACGGAUGACAGAGUAGGAAGUCAUCUCUUAAAUCCUACUCCCUCUGUGCCACGGCUUUAUUUUGCCAAAGCCCUAGCUGUGACUGGGAGCCUACAGAUCCACCACCACCUCAGCAGAGAUCCGCUCUAUCUCCCACGCUUCGUUACUGCUGUUUUUCCUGAGUUUGAGAAACUGAUGCUGGAGGCUUUGGUGUCUUAUUGGGUUUAUGUGAGUGGUGAAAUCCCCCGAUCAACAGCCACGCAGCUAUCUGAUGCUGACGAAAGUUGUCAUCUGCACAACAUCAUUUGGGGCAGAAUGAGGACACCCACUUUGCAGCUGAUCACACAGGCAAACAAAUAAACAAAUGCGGCUUGGGGUGUAUGUGGGGUGUGUCAGAGGGGCAGUCCCCCUGCAGGAUUCGCACUCAGACACCCCUGAAAAGUUCUUCACUUCUCCUUCCAAAUCAGCACAAAGUCAGCAGAAGCGAGGGAAAGAGAAUCCCCAGUCCCCUUCAGGCCAGCGGGGAAAAGGCUGAAUGGACUAAAGCAGACAUCUGAGAAGCUCGCAGUGUCCCAAACUGCACAGCUGAGGAAUCAGCUGCCAAGAGGCUAUUGGACUGGCAGGAGGAAAAAGUGUGUGUGAUUAACAUACAAUGUCAAGUCAUUUGAUAUGUUACAACACAACAAUAUUAUGCAAACUAUUUAAAUAUUCAAAAAGUCUUUUAAUAUUUAUCCCUUCAAUGACACUUGACUGUGUCUGAAACCCCACGAAGGCCAUCCUGGCUGGCUUCUUGUAUGCACAGCCAUGGUGUGCCCUUGUACGUAUGUGUGUGUGGACUUGGCCACAGAAACCUCUCACUAAUGCUGCUUUCUAAAUCCUGCCGAUGCAUUCUCUUUGAAACCAGAGCGCUUGUCUAAUUCAGCGUAAAAUUGAAGGGCUGCAGACACCCCCAAACCUCAUUCAGCUAUGAAUUUAAUGCCUGAUGAGGAAACAGUCUCUUAUUUUAAUAGUUUACAGCAGCACUAAUGAUGAUCUUCUGAAGUAACUGAACAGGAAAGAAAAGAGAGGGAAAUCUUUGAUCUUUCCUCUGUUUUAAAGUUGUUGGAGGUGAGGGUUUGCACAGUCUGCCUAAUGUGCUGUUUUGGCAAACACUACAG